AGUAAUAUAUCGGAACGUGCCCAGUCGUGGGGGAUAACGCAGCGAAAGCUGUGCUAAUACCGCAUACGAUCUAUGGAUGAAAGCGGGGGAUCGCAAGACCUCGCGCGAUUGGAGCGGCCGAUAUCAGAUUAGCUAGUUGGCGGGGUAAAAGCCCACCAAGGCGACGAUCUGUAGCUGGUCUGAGAGGACGACCAGCCACACUGGAACUGAGACACGGUCCAGACUCCUACGGGAGGCAGCAGUGGGGAAUUUUGGACAAUGGGCGAAAGCCUGAUCCAGCAAUGCCGCGUGCAGGAUGAAGGCCUUCGGGUUGUAAACUGCUUUUGUACGGAACGAAACGGUCUCUCCUAAUACGAGGGGCUAAUGACGGUACCGUAAGAAUAAGCACCGGCUAACUACGUGCCAGCAGCCGCGGUAAUACGUAGGGUGCAAGCGUUAAUCGGAAUUACUGGGCGUAAAGCGUGCGCAGGCGGUGAUGUAAGACAGAUGUGAAAUCCCCGGGCUCAACCUGGGACCUGCAUUUGUGACUGCAUCGCUAGAGUACGGUAGAGGGGGAUGGAAUUCCGCGUGUAGCAGUGAAAUGCGUAGAUAUGCGGAGGAACACCGAUGGCGAAGGCAAUCCCCUGGACCUGUACUGACGCUCAUGCACGAAAGCGUGGGGAGCAAACAGGAUUAGAUACCCUGGUAGUCCACGCCCUAAACGAUGUCAACUGG
rnacentral:rRNA from 1 species